UAAUACGGAGGGUGCAAGCGUUGUUCGGAAUUACUGGGCGUAAAGCGCGUGUAGGCGGCUUGGUAAGUCGAGUGUGAAAUCCCAGGGCUCAACCCUGGAACUGCACCCGAAACUGCCUCGCUAGAGUCCCGGAGAGGGUGGCGGAAUUUCCGGUGUAGAGGUGAAAUUCGUAGAUAUCGGAAGGAACACCAGUGGCGAAGGCGGCCACCUGGACGGUGACUGACGCUGAGACGCGAAAGCGUGGGGAGCAAACAGGAUUAGAUACCCUGGUAGUCCACGCCGUAAACGUUGAGUGCUAGGCGUCGGGGGUAUUGACCCCUCCGGUGCCGGAGUUAACGCAUUAAGCACUCCGCCUGGGGAGUACGGCCGCAAGGCUA
rnacentral:rRNA from 1 species